UACGUCCAAUCCAUCUCUCUUUUGAUGGGUUUUUUGUACAGUUAGCGUGAAGCAAAAGAAGCUUUUGGAAGUCCUUUGAGGAUUCGGGGCUCUUUUACAAUUAUAAAUUCACACACUCUCUCUUUCUCCGUGUUAAAGAAGCUGUCUUUUACUCUCUUCUAUCUGAAUCUGACUACUCCACACACUCUUUUCUCUGAGUCACAAUAUUCUCACUUUGUAAGCUUAUUGGGUUUUGUUUGGUUUUGUUUAAGGGAAGCAAAAUCUAAGUCAGAAACAUUAUGACAAUGUCUUGUUUGUGUCAAUGCUUUUAGUGUUAUCAUUUGUCUCAGAGUUAAAAACCUUCAAAAAAUGGAAAAAGGUAUUGUGCACUUAUCUGGAAAUUGCUGUCUUCCUUCAAGAAAUCUCCACAUUUGGAAAAAGGCCAAUGCAUCAUAUAUGGAAAAUUAUGUUCCCCUCCAAGCAACCUCUCUCUCUCACUCUCUCUCUCUCUCAGGAAGAAGACAAGAAAGAUGUUGGUGUUGACAACGAGCUUUUUACCAUCUCCUUGUGAUCCAAAUUAUUUAAACUUUUCAAAAGCUCUUAUUACUCCAAAUUUGCGAACUGGGACACACAGGGUUGAAUCUCUGAAGGCCUAAGCAAGCGUCCACCUUGGAUUUUGGGUGGUUUAUCUACAAAUUUAUGUGUAAUCUAGAUUAUUCUUUUGUGUGUUUUGAAUUUCACAAGAUGGAAAAUUUGCAGAUCUGAAUAUUUUGUAGAUCUAAGCAAAUCAAAGUUUGAAGAUGGUGGGUAUAGAUUUUGUAAUUCUCUCAUGAGUUGGAUGGGAUCCUUUCAACACCACCAUUUUCGACGAAGCUUAUUCGAGACCCUUGACGAUCUCAGCGAGAAUACAAGUCUGCACGGUUGGAAUAACGAUUGUACUAAGAUGAUUAGAUCAGUUGUUGAGGUUUUUGGUGGAAAUUUGGGUGAUUUUGUGGUUGAAGAUUUAUGAAAUUAGGGAUAGAAGACUUAUGCCAAGAAAGUGAGAGAAAAGAAAUUUUGUGUAUUGAGAUUUUCUUUGUUGUCCUGUUUGGUGGGUAAGAAAGCGAGAAUAGAAAGUUGUUUUUUUUUUUU